CCCUUAGAUGUUCUGGGCCGCACGCGCGCUACACUGACGAAGUCAGCGAGCAUGUCCUACGCCGACAGGUGCGGGGAAUCUUGUCAAACUUCGUCGUGAUGGGGAUUGAUUAUUGAAAUUCUUGAUCAUCAACGAGGAAUUCCUAGUAAGCGCAAGUCAGCAGCUUGCGUUGAUUACGUCCCUGCCCUUUGUACACACCGCCCGUCGCUACUACCGAUUGAAUGGUUUAGUGAGAUCUUCGGAUUGGCGCCACUGCGGCUCAGCAAUGGGCUCGGUGGAUGCCGAAAAGCUGAUCAAACUUGAUCAUUUAGAGGAAGUAAAAGUCGUAACA
rnacentral:rRNA from 1 species